rnacentral:rRNA from 1 species
GAUGAACGCUAGCGAUAGGCUUAACACAUGCAAGUCGAGGGGCAGCAUGCUCUUAGCUUGCUAAGGCUGAUGGCGACCGGCGCACGGGUGCGUAACGCGUAUGCAACUUGCCUCACAGAUGGGGAUAACCCGUCGAAAGACGGACUAAUACCGCGUACACUCUAUGUUGGGCAUCCAAUGUAGAGGAAAUGAAAUUCGCUGUGAGAUAGGCAUGCGGCCCAUUAGCUAGUUGGUGAGGUAACGGCCGACCAAGUCGACGAUGGGUAGGGGAACUGAGAGGUGGAACCCCCACAAUGGUACUGAGACACGAACGAGACGCCUACGGCAGGAAGCAGUGAGGAAUAUUGGUCAAUGGGCGAGAGCAUGAACCAGCCAAGUCGCGUGAAGGAGGACUGUCUUAUGGAUUGUAAACUUCUUUUAUGCGGGAAGAACAAGAGUCACGUGUGGCUCCGUGAAUGUACCGUAUGAAUAAGCAUCGGCUAACUCCGUG